GACGAACGCUGGCGGCGUGCUUAACACAUGCAAGUCGAACGGAAAGGCCCUGCUUUUGUGGGGUGCUCGAGUGGCGAACGGGUGAGUAACACGUGAGUAACCUGCCCUUGACUUUGGGAUAACUUCAGGAAACUGGGGCUAAUACCGGAUAGGAGCUCCUGCUGCAUGGUGGGGGUUGGAAAGUUUCGGCGGUUGUGGAUGGACUCGCGGCUUAUCAGCUUGUUGGUGGGGUAGUGGCUUACCAAGGCUUUGACGGGUAGCCGGCCUGAGAGGGUGACCGGCCACAUUGGGACUGAGAUACGGCGCAGACUCCUACGGGAGGCAGCAGUGGGGAAUAUUGCACAAUGGGCGCAAGCCUGAUGCAGCAACGCCGCGUGCGGGAUGACGGCCUUCGGGUUGUAAACCGCUUUCGCCUGUGACGAAGCGUGAGUGACGGUAAUGGGUAAAGAAGCACCGGCUAACUACGUG
rnacentral:rRNA from 1 species